ACGGGAGGCAGCAGUGGGGAAUAUUGGGCAAUGGGCGAAAGCCUGACCCAGCGACGCCGCGUGAGGGAAGAAGGUCUUCGGAUUGUAAACCUUAGUCAACAGGGAAGAAGAAAGUGACGGUACCUGUGGAGGAAGCCACGGCUAACUACGUGCCAGCAGCCGCGGUAAUACGUAGGUGGCAAGCGUUAUCCGGAUUUACUGGGUGUAAAGGGUGUGUAGGCGGGGAUGCAAGUCAGAUGUGAAAUCUAUGGGCUUAACCCAUAAACUGCAUUUGAAACUGUAUCUCUUGAGUGCUGGAGAGGUAGAUGGAAUUCCUUGUGUAGCGGUGAAAUGCGUAGAUAUAAGGAAGAACACCAGUGGCGAAGGCGAUCUACUGGACAGUAACUGACGCUGAGGCGCGAAAGCGUGGGGAGCAAACAGGAUUAGAUACCCUGGUA
rnacentral:rRNA from 1 species